rnacentral:rRNA from 1 species
AUACGUAGGGGGCGAGCGUUGUCCGGAAUGAUUGGGCGUAAAGGGCGCGUAGGCGGCGCGGUAAGUCUGGAGUGAAAGUCCUGCUUUCAAGGUGGGACUUGCUUUGGAUACUGCCGCGCUUGAGUGCAGGAGAGGUUAUCGGAAUUCCCGGUGUAGCGGUGAAAUGCGUAGAGAUCGGGAGGAACACCAGUGGCGAAGGCGGGUAACUGGACUGCAACUGACGCUGAGGCGCGAAAGUGUGGGGAGCAAACAGGAUUAGAUACCCUGGUAGCCCACACUGUAAACGAUGAAUGCUAGGUGUAAGAGGUAUCGACCCCUUUUGUGCCGGAGUCAACACAAUAAGCAUUCCGCCUGGGGAGUACGGCCGCAAGGUUGAAACUCAAAUGAAUUGACGGGG